GACGAACGCUGGCGGCGUGCUUAACACAUGCAAGUCGAACGAUGAACCCGGAGCUUGCUCUGGGGGAUUAGUGGCGAACGGGUGAGUAACACGUGAGUAACCUGCCCUGGACUCUGGGAUAAGCGUUGGAAACGACGUCUAAUACCGGAUAGGACCUUGGAUCGCAUGAUCUGGGGUGGAAAGUUUUUUCGGUCUGGGAUGGACUCGCGGCCUAUCAGCUUGUUGGUGAGGUAAUGGCUCACCAAGGCGUCGACGGGUAGCCGGCCUGAGAGGGUGACCGGCCACCCUGGGCCUGAGUCACGGCCCAGACUCCUACGGGCGGCAGCCGUGGGGAGUAUUGCACACUGGGCGAAAGCCUGAUGCAGCAACGCCGCGUGCGGGAUGACGGCCUUCGUGUUGUAAACCGCUUUUAGUAGGGAAGAAGGGCUUCGGCUUGACGGUACCUGCAGAAAAAGGACCGGCUAACUACGUG
rnacentral:rRNA from 1 species